rnacentral:rRNA from 1 species
GACGAACGCUGGCGGCGUGCCUAACACAUGCAAGUCGAGCGAAGUGCUUUAAGCGGAAUCUUCGGAGGAAGCUUAAAGUAUCUUAGCGGCGGACGGGUGAGUAAUGCGUGAGGAACCUGCCUUUCACAAGGGGAUAGCCUCGGGAAACUGGGAUUAAUACCCUAUGACACCUAAGUAUCGCAUGAUACUUAGGUUAAAGCGCAAAGCGGUGGAAGAUGGCCUCACGUCCCAUUAGCUAGUUGGUGAGGUAAAGGCUCACCAAGGCAACGAUGGGUAGCCGGCCUGAGAGGGUGACCGGCCACACUGGAACUGAGACACGGUCCAGACUCCUACGGGAGGCAGCAGUGGGGAAUAUUGCACAAUGGGCGAAAGCCUGAUGCAGCGACGCCGCGUGAGCGAAGAAGGCCUUCGGGUCGUAAAGCUCUGUCCUAUGGGACGAUAAUGACGGUACCAUAGGAGGAAGCCCCGGCUAACUACGUGCCAGCAGCCGCGGUAAUACGUAGGGGGCAAGCGUUGUCCGGAAUGACUGGGCGUAAAGGGUACGUAGGCGGUCAUGUAAGUCAGGUGUGAAAUUCUAGGGCUCAACCCUAGAUAGCACUUGAAACUGCGUGACUUGAGUCAAGGAGAGGAAAGUGGAAUUCCUGGUGUAGCGGUGAAAUGCGUAGAUAUCAGGAGGAAUACCAGUGGCGAAGGCGACUUUCUGGCCUUAGACUGACGCUGAGGUACGAAAGCGUGGGGAGCAAACAGGAUUAGAUACCCUGGUAGUCCACGCCGUAAACGAUGAGUGCUAGGUGUCGGGGCGAAAGUUUCGGUGCCGAAGUUAACACAUUAAGCACUCCGCCUGGGGAGUACGGUCGCAAGACUGA